GGGGUGGGCUUAUCCCUUAUCCUGGGCUUCAGCGUCGCUUAUGCCUUCUACUACCUGAGCAGCAUUGCCAAGAAACCCCAGUUAGUGACCGGGGGUGAGAGUUUCAGCCGCUUCCUUCAAGACCACUGUCCCGUGGUUACAGAAACGUACUACCCGACGGUCUGGUGCUGGGAGGGUCGAGGACAGACCCUGCUUAGACCUUUCAUCACUUCGAAGCCCCCGGUGCAGUACAGGAAUGAACUUAUUAAAACUGCAGAUGGAGGACAGAUUUCACUGGACUGGUUUGAUAAUGAUAACAGUACGUGUUAUAUGGAUGCCAGCACCAGACCUACUAUCUUAUUGUUGCCUGGCCUCACGGGAACAAGCAAGGAGUCAUAUAUCCUUCAUAUGAUCCAUCUUAGUGAAGAAUUAGGAUACAGAUGUGUGGUUUUUAACAACAGAGGAGUGGCGGGGGAGAAUCUCUUGGUAAGUAAAUUUAAAUGACAACAGUCUUAACUUUUUAAAGAAUCAUUUCUAGUUUUAUAACAAAAAGCAUAUUCUUUUUAUUUAAAAUAACUCUGUUUAUGUAAGCAAUACAAAUUUAUUAUACAAAAAUACAGAUAUG
rnacentral:lncRNA from 1 species